UACGUAGGGGGCAAGCGUUGUCCGGAUUCAUUGGGCGUAAAGAGCGCGCAGGCGGUCGUUCAAGUCGAGUGUGAAAGCCCCCGGCUCAACUGGGGAGGGUCACUUGAUACUGAUCGACUCGAAGGCAGGAGAGGGAAGCGGAAUUCCCGGUGUAGUGGUGAAAUGCGUAGAUAUCGGGAGGAACACCAGUGGCGAAGGCGGCUUCCUGGCCUGUUCUUGACGCUGAGGCGCGAAAGCUAGGGGAGCAAACGGG
rnacentral:rRNA from 1 species